GUGGCUCAGUGGUUUAGCGCUACCUUCAGCCCAGGGUGUGAUCCUGGAGACCCAGGAUCGAUUCCCACAUCGGGCUCCCUGCAUGGCGCCUGCUUCUCCCUCUGCCUGUGUCUCUGCCUCUCUCUCUCUUUCUCUCUCAUGAAUAAGUAAAAUCUUAAAAAAAAAAAAAAAAAAGAAAAAAGUAAAUAUCCUUAGAUUCAGUAAUUCCAGUCCUUGAUAUUUACAGCCAGCUACAGGAGACAGACAGAUCUACAUAGUAGCAUAUGUAAAGAGUCACUGCCACACUGUAACACAUAAUGUCACCUAAAAUAAGUAAAAGACUACUUACAUAAAUUAUAAUACACCUACACGAAGGAAUUACCUUUCAAAAGAAUAAGAGAAUUGUUCAUACCAAUAGGAAAAGAUUUCCAAGAAAAAUUCAGUGAAAAAAGUCAGGUAAAGAACCCAAAUUGUACGAUAUACUAUAUUUAUAAGAAAAACACAUUAGUAUGUGUUUGUAAAUAUAAAAAUGAUCCCUGGAAGGAUACACAAUCAGUUUUAAUGAUGGUUUUUCUCUAGGAAGGUAAAGAAAAAGCUGGAAGACAAAAGUUACCUUCCCUAUACACCCUUCCUAUACUUCAAAUCUUCUACUGAGCACAUGUAACACCACAUAUUGUCUUUAAAACAUAAACUAUCGUAAAAAAUAAAAAUAUCUGGUUAUUAAGAAAAAAAGAAAAAAAUUAUGGGAAUCCACAUCAAUGUACUCACGUAAUGAAAUAAAGCUAUGAAUUAGAAAUAAAAACACCAAUUUGGGUUUGUUUUUGUUUAAGUCAUGUGGCCCAAAAAGGAGACUGUAAUGUCUGAGACAAAAGCAUGAAAACGAUAGAACACUGUAAGUUAACUAUACUGGAAUUAAAAUCAAAAACUUAAUUUAUAAAAAAAAAAAAGUAUGAGAACAAAAGAAAUUCCCUCCUGGAAGAUUUUCAUGCUCAAAGGCCACAUCUGGGAAAGAUUCACUCCACCUGUGCCUAGAAUGUCCUAAAACAAUAAGACCUUCAGGGAUCACAAGGGGAACCAAGUGGGAGAAGGAGAACAGCUAGCUGAUUAAGUAACAAUGUGUUGGAGGGAAUCCUAAACAAACAAGCCAAGAUAAGACGAAGAAAAAAAAACUCAUCUGUAAUUUAAAAAGGACAUUCCAUUCUAAACUGGCUAAAAGAAUAAAUCUCAAAACAAAUCAUUCGCUCCUGGCACUGUUUUCCCCAUCUCACAGGGCUAGAGUAACCACUUUUUCUGUCACCUGUGAUGAAAGAAGAAAGAAAAAAAAGGGAAAAAAAAAGAAAAGAAAAGAAAAGAAAAGAAAAGAAAAGAAAAGAAAAGAAAAGAAAAGAAAAGAAAAGAGAGAAAGAGAGAGAAAGAGAGAGAAAAGAAAGAAAAAGAAAGGAAAGAAAGGAAAGAAAGGAAAGAAAGGAAGAAAGAGAAAGAAAGAAAGAAAGAAAGAAAGAAAGAAAGAAAGAAAGAAAGAAAGAAAGAAAGAAAGAAAGAAAGAGAAAUCGUUAGGGUUCCUUUCACUUAAUUUAGGCUCAGUGCAAUAGGGCAUAAACCUAAAUUGCAGGUGUCAGCCAUCAAACAGUAUAUGUGCCUUUGAUUCUAUGAGCAGAUGUUUAUCAGGCCCCAUGGUCAAAAGUUGAAGACUGUAACGGUAUUCCUUUAUUAGGAUAAACAUUUGAUUUAUUUGCAAGAUAAGGUGCUUGACCCAAAAAAGUCAAUAAGAGACUUUGAGCUGUUUGUGUAGCUGGUUCAUUUUAUCAUUCAGACCUCAGCCCAUUUCUUCCUAGUUCCAAAAGGGACCUUUCUCCCCCAGAUCCAAGUGCCCUCAGAUGGCAUUCUGUGACACAGAUCGAAUCCCCAGAGCUCCAAACCCUUAUCUGCUGGGUCUAGGGCCGUGUUUCCAACUCCUCACAAGCCUCCAGGAAGCCCUCUUCUCUAUGCUAACUCCAGAAGCGGAAACCCAAUACCAUGCCCUGCUCCAGACCAGCUCUUAACCUUUCGUUUUAAGAUCAACACCAUGCUCUGGGCCAUCCAAGUUCCCCAGGUCAGAUGCUUCUGCCUCUCACUUGCUCCUUCCCUUCUUCACAAAAAUGAUUUGUGCACCUUACAGCUUCUCCGGCAAGAGGCCCAAACCCGGAUUCCAUCCGCUCGUUUCCCUCAGCUCCUGGGCACCCACCCUCACCCCUCAGGGCGGCGACAGAGAAGCCUACCCACCAGGGGACCCACCCAGAGGCCCACAGGGACAGCGCGAUGCCGGCCUCGGGCCUGGGAGGUCAGGUCCCCGCAGAGGCCUGGGCCCCGAGCUGCCAGGCCUGCAGGUUCGCAGAAGAACGUGCAGAGUUGAACAUUUUACGGGAAAUACCCCCAAGUUUAAACGACAGCAACUACUUCAACAAUGAGAAGGAAAAACUGUCUUACGUUCGGGAUCACACGGGACAGAACUCUGAGGGGUGCUGGGCCUGGGGCCACCGGUUUUCAAAGUCUGCGUUCGAGCAAGUGCCUUUGGGGUGGACAGCGUGGGUGCAAGUUCAGGCAAGUUUUGGAACAAUAACUGUGUCGGGUCACCUCCGACAUCUUCCAUCACCCCUCUGAAGCCUCGGUUUCUCCUGCUGUAAAAUGGGGGUAGGAGAGUAGGUCGGUCAGCAGGGGUGAGCCUCAGGGGAGAGCACACAGGGAGGGCGCCUGAGCAGGCCUCCCCACGGCCACGGGCUCACGGACGCUCUUUUAGAACCAAGUCUAAAAUUUUGAGCCCGGCACUCAAAGUAAACCAAAAUUUGGCUCUCAGCCUCCGUUUCCACGUUCUUCCACGGCGCAAACCCCACCGUACUCUACACGGUCACACCAUGUCACCCGGCUGGUCGCUCCAGGCGCUGCCACAUAGCCCAGCAAAACGUGACAGGACGGGCCAGCGUGUGCAACAGAAGGCGGCGCCGCACCGACCGUCCUACCCAGCUCCGCUCCAGAGCCCGAGUCAGCUCUGCCUUCCAGCCAGCCCAGGUCCCGCUGCCUCCCCGAGGAGCUGCACCUCAAGGCACGCAGCCCAAUUCCAGGGGCAACAAAUACGUGCAAAUGCGUUUAUACAACUUGGCCCUUAAACGAAAGCCAGCCACCUCAUAGGCACUCGCCCGUUCCCUGCUUGGGCAGGGUGCCUAGUCCACAUCUGUACGAUGCUCAAAACGGUACCAUCAAAGUGGUACCUUCUUCCAAGGCCAGCCUGUCACUUCCACAAGUGUUAUUUGCUCCUUAUCCCUCUGUGUCUCCCGACCAAGAUACUUGGCCUCCUGCCAUUUAUAGUUAGAUGUCCGAUUCUUCAGUCUUCCUCUUAGUGGCCUCUUACUCCAGUGCAGCCUAAGAUCAACUUAAUUUUACUGUCCUUUCCAUGCCCAGCCCCAAGUCCGGGAGGCCUUGAUAAAUGCUCAACAAAUGAAGGAAGAAGAAAAGGGGAAACGAUGGAGGAGCAGCAGCAAGGCAGGAAGGGAUUUUAAUGAUAAGGACAAUGACAGCUACGAGGACUGCAGUCACCAAUUCAGCUCUUACAUCUUUCGAUGCAAAGAGCUGGCCCCUACUAGCCUUGUUUUGUGUUUUGGAACAAUAACUGUAUCGGGUCACCUCGCCUACUUCUUGCCCAUUCUCCUUUCGGUGCAGGUGACCUAAAAAGGGACUCCUGCUAUCCCCUCAUUACUGACGGCCACCAUCCCAUUUCAAGUAUAAUCUAAAUAAACAGGGAUCUAAGUGGCUCCUGCCCCCAGUUUAAAUUAAUUAGGCCCACCUUCGAUGCCGAUUAGGAUCAAGACGAGCAUGUACUUUUGGAGCUGAUCCAAAGCACAUAUUAGUCACUUUAAUCUGAUAUACAGAAACAAGCAAAGACCCCCUACACAGAGAAGAAAAAACAAUGGGUGGGGGAAUGGUGGGAGAGCAGAAGGGCACGGACCAUCUGUAGAAUAAUUGAGACUCAACAAAAAGAAAAACAAAAUUCUCAUCCAGAUUAGCAAAUGUCCAAUAAACAAAUUAAGGCUGAUUUCCACAAUAUCUCGAAUAGUUGUGGGUUUUUUUUUUUUCCAAACUGCUAGUUAGAACCUAUUAGCAAGUUGUGAAAUCAAUUUAGUAAACAGAAACCAGAAUUAAAAAAAAAAAAAAGACUAGAAAUUAGGAAGCAUUGCUAUAUUGUGUUGUAAAAAUUGUAAUUCAGCUUUAUUUUCAAUAUGCAUGUGUGUAUGUGUGUGUACUCAGUCAUGAUGUAAAAUGUAUUGCUGCGAGUAAAAAAUGUUUUUAAAACACUGAAAUAGAACAUUUAUGUUUAUAUAAUCUCCAGGGACUGAGAUUUUCCAUUUUUUACUAGGGCCACACUCAUAAAGUAAGAGAAUAUUUGUUCUUGCCACCUGUUGUGCACAACAGUUCAGUUCCUCAAGUUCAAAAACAUCUAAAAAAAAUAUAUCACUUGGCACACUUGUCCCUUACCAUUUUCCUUAUUCUCAAAAGGAAGAUAAAGGUUACUCCAGAUAACCACCUACACUUUUCCCUCCUACUGGUUGUCCUAUGUAUAUAUUUCUAUCUUGUGUUAAGUCCCUGACAUCAAGUUACGAGUCCAAAAGCUUCAGCUUCCUUAGUGGUACUCACUUAUAAGUGAGUAUUAAAGUAUAACUUAUAAGUAUUAACCUAUAACUUAAGGAGAGUGAUCCAUCAGGCACAUUAUGUUUUCACGAAGAGUACCCCACCACUCACCAGUAGCUACAAUAGAGGAAGUUUGGCUUAAAAUAUCUCAACUCAUCCCCUCUACACCAGAAUGCCUUUUCUCAAGUUCUUUUUAUUGCACAUCUUUCUCAGUAUCCAGUCUCUUCAAAUUCCAAGUACCAUCCCACACAUCUAAUAUCCAGCUUUGUCUCAGACCACUCCUAUGUUCCUUUAUCUCCUCUGUACAUUUCCCAUCAAACUCAAGGUUAUUUUUAGAAGUUCAAUCAAUAAUUCUUCCAUGAUUGCUUUAAAAAGAAAAAAGAAAAACUGGAGCAAUCUUGUUUUCUCUGUGUUACAAUUUUUUUUAAGUAAGCUCUACAUCCAAUGUGGGACUUGAACUCAUGACCCCAAGGAUCAAGAGCAGCAUGCUCUACCAAUUCAGCUAGCCAGGCACCCCAGAGCGAUCUUAUUUUCAAUGUCAUCC
rnacentral:lncRNA from 1 species